GGAAGGUGGCUCAGUGGGAGAGCACUUGCCUUGCAUGCAUGAGGCCUUGGGUUCGAUUCCUCACCACCA
rnacentral:tRNA from 1 species